rnacentral:rRNA from 1 species
CAGCAGUAGCCGCGGUAAUACGAAGGGGGCUAGCGUUGCUCGGAAUCACUGGGCGUAAAGGGUGCGUAGGCGGGUUUUUAAGUCAGAGGUGAAAUCCUGGAGCUCAACUCCAGAACUGCCUUUGAUACUGAAAGUCUUGAGUUCGGGAGAGGUGAGUGGAACUACGAGUGUAGAGGUGAAAUUCGUAGAUAUUCGCAAGAACACCAGUGGCGAAGGCGGCUCACUGGCCCGAUACUGACGCUGAGGCACGAAAGCGUGGGGAGCAAACAGGAUUAGAUACCCCGGUAGUCCCUGUCUCUUAUAC